UCCUUCUUCACAGAUUUUGUUUCUGAUGCACACUCUGAGAUGAAAGCACUAUGAGCAAAGCUAAACAGGUGCCGUCAUUUGUCCUCUGAUAGUAAAGAGUGGUAAAUGCUUAAUUGUUUCAAGUACUAUAAUGUAUGGAGAGUUUUCCCAGACACUUUGUGAAUUCAGAACUGCUACCCAGUUGUCAGCAGCUGAAUUGCCAGUUUAAAUGUGCAGUGAUCAGAAAUAUUACAAGAUGUUACUGUGAGGAUGGAUUUGAAGUAACAGAAGAUGGGAGAAGCUGUAAAGGCAAGUAUGAAAUGUGACUCUCUUUAUUAGUUGGCAUGUUAUUUUUCUAGACAAGUAUGUGAGAUAAGUACAU
rnacentral:lncRNA from 1 species